rnacentral:lncRNA from 1 species
CCGCCAACCAGGUUGGCCAACUGCUGGGGCCCGCGGAGGCUGAAGGGACGUCUCAACCUCCGCCCUGGCCCAUAUCUCUCCGUAGGUGAGUGCAGACAGAAUUUGGGAUGCCUUUUUUCUGCUCCCACUCACCCCCGAAGGUGCCAGAAGGUCAUGGGAAAUGCAGAGUCCUCUCCUUAGACCCCAAAGUCCUUGGGUGUCUAUAUUCAAAUUUUGCCAAGUUAGGGCUCAUUUAAGAACCGCCUGGUAUUUUACUGCACUGAGACAAUUGGUCAUAAUGGCUCCCAGAAAGAACUGUUGAUUUUAAACCCUCACUGAAUUGGACAAUUUCUGUCGCCUGACAGGGAAGUGGGAAACCACGUUCAGGAUUUUUGAGAUUUGCUCCCGUCCUGCCCUCUGCUCUCUGCUCCCGACCUGCCCUCUGCCUCCUUCCCUCUGCUCUUAAUGUCUGUUCUCCCUCCUAGUGCUGAGAGCCAUAGCCAAGUAGGAAUGAUGCAUGGCAAUUUCCUUGUCAGCCUACCCAAUGUUGCUUAGAGGGAGGACUCUCCAUUGUGAAAAUGGGCUUGCCUUGGACCCAGGUCAUUUGCAGUGACAUUGCAUGAAUAUUUGAGAGUUUUGUUUUGAAAGGUGACCUUGCUCAGGGAUUAGGGCGGAUCCGGGUUUAGGGUGGAUCCUGCUGGGAAUAGGGCGUAUCCUGCUGCCUCAGGCGCUGGCUCCUUGAGUUCUCGCGGGAUUCAGAGGGUAUUUGGGAUGCAGAGCCCGGUGGAGGUGUGGAUUUUCCCCGGAACGUGCAUGUAGAGUGCAGGUGAGAGUUCGGGAAUAAAGAAUUGCUGUUUGAAUCUACAAGGCUGUGAGUGGCUCGUGAUUUUGUGCCCAGCCAGACUUUGGCAUCCUAGCGGUACCGUGUCC